rnacentral:rRNA from 1 species
AUUGAACGCUGGCGGCAGGCUUAACACAUGCAAGUCGAACGAGUGGCGGACGGGUGAGUAAUGCUUGGGAAUCUAGCUUAUGGAGGGGGAUAACUACGGGAAACUGUAGCUAAUAACGCGUACCAUAGGAUGAGCCCACGUGGGAUUAGGUAGUUGGUGUGGUAAAGGCUCACCAAGCCGACGAUCUAUAGCUGGUCUGAGAGGGUGACCAGCCACACUGGGACGGAGACACGGCCCAGACGCCUACGGGAGGCAGCAGUGGGGAAUAUUGCGCAAUGGGGGCAACCUGACGCAGCCAUGCCGCGUGUAUGAAGAAGGCCUUCGGGUUGUAAAGUUCUUUCAGUCGGGAGGCGUUACCGACAGAGGAAGCCCCGGCUAACUCCGUGCCAGCAGCCGCGGUAAUUC